rnacentral:rRNA from 1 species
UUUGAUUAUGGCUCAGGACGAACGCUGGCGGCGUGCCUAAUACAUGCAAGUAGAACGCUGAAGAGAGGAGCUUGCUCUUCUUGGAUGAGUUUGCGAACGGGUGAGUAACGCGUAGGUAACCUGCCUUGUAGCGGGGGAUAACUAUUGGAAACGAUAGCUAAUACCGCAUAACAAUAGGUGACACAUGUCAUUUAUUUGAAAGGGGCAAUUGCUCCACUACAAGAUGGACCUGCGUUGUAUUAGCUAGUAGGUGAGGUAACGGCUCACCUAGGCGACGAUACAUAGCCGACCUGAGAGGGUGAUCGGCCACACUGGGACUGAGACACGGCCCAGACUCCUACGGGAGGCAGCAGUAGGGAAUCUUCGGCAAUGGGGGCAACCCUGACCGAGCAACGCCGCGUGAGUGAAGAAGGUUUUCGGAUCGUAAAGCUCUGUUGUAAGUCAAGAACGAGUGUGAGAGUGGAAAGUUCACACUGUGACGGUAGCUUACCAGAAAGGGACGGCUAACUACGUGCCAGCAGCCGCGGUAAUACGUAGGUCCCGAGCGUUGUCCGGAUUUAUUGGGCGUAAAGCGAGCGCAGGCGGUUUGAUAAGUCUGAAGUUAAAGGCUGUGGCUCAACCAUAGUUCGCUUUGGAAACUGUCAAACUUGAGUGCAGAAGGGGAGAGUGGAAUUCCAUGUGUAGCGGUGAAAUGCGUAGAUAUAUGGAGGAACACCGGUGGCGAAAGCGGCUCUCUGGUCUGUAACUGACGCUGAGGCUCGAAAGCGUGGGGAGCGAACAGGAUUAGAUACCCUGGUAGUCCACGCCGUAAACGAUGAGUGCUAGGUGUUGGAUCCUUUCCGGGAUUCAGUGCCGCAGCUAACGCAUUAAGCACUCCGCCUGGGGAGUACGACCGCAAGGUUGAAACUCAAAGGAAUUGACGGGGGCCCGCACAAGCGGUGGAGCAUGUGGUUUAAUUCGAAGCAACGCGAAGAACCUUACCAGGUCUUGACAUCCCGAUGCUAUCUCUAGAGAUAGAAAGUUACUUCGGUACAUCGGUGACAGGUGGUGCAUGGUUGUCGUCAGCUCGUGUCGUGAGAUGUUGGGUUAAGUCCCGCAACGAGCGCAACCCCUAUUGUUAGUUGCCAUCAUUCAGUUGGGCACUCUAGCGAGACUGCCGGUAAUAAACCGGAGGAAGGUGGGGAUGACGUCAAAUCAUCAUGCCCCUUAUGACCUGGGCUACACACGUGCUACAAUGGUUGGUACAACGAGUUGCGAGUCGGUGACGGCAAGCUAAUCUCUUAAAGCCAAUCUCAGUUCGGAUUGUAGGCUGCAACUCGCCUACAUGAAGUCGGAAUCGCUAGUAAUCGCGGAUCAGCACGCCGCGGUGAAUACGUUCCCGGGCCUUGUACACACCGCCCGUC